rnacentral:rRNA from 1 species
GAUGAACGCUGGCGGCGUGCUUAACACAUGCAAGUCGAACGGUGAAGCAGAGCUUGCUCUGUGGAUCAGUGGCGAACGGGUGAGUAACACGUGAGCAACCUGCCCCUGACUCUGGGAUAAGCGCUGGAAACGGCGUCUAAUACUGGAUAUGAGCUGCGGCCGCAUGGUCAGCAGUUGGAAAGAUUUUUCGGUCUGGGAUGGGCUCACGGCCUAUCAGCUUGUUGGUGAGGUAAUGGCUCACCAAGGCGUCGACGGGUAGCCGGCCUGAGAGGGUGACCGGCCACACUGGGACUGAGACACGGCCCAGACUCCUACGGGAGGCAGCAGUGGGGAAUAUUGCACAAUGGGCGAAAGCCUGAUGCAGCAACGCCGCGUGAGGGAUGACGGCCUUCGGGUUGUAAACCUCUUUUAGCAGGGAAGAAGCGAAAGUGACGGUACCUGCAGAAAAAGCGCCGGCUAACUACGUG